rnacentral:rRNA from 1 species
ACGACGACGUUGAUAGGCCGGAUGUGUAAGUGCAGCGAUGCAUUGAGCUAACCGGUACUAAUGACCCGUGAGGCUUAACCUUACAACGCCAGAGGCGUUU